ACUGUGGCUCAACCAUAGAAAGGGAAUGGAUACUGGUUUUCUAGAGGUUAUUAGAGGUUAGUGGAAUUUCCGGUGGANCGGUGAAAUGCGUUGAUAUCGGAAGGAACGCCAAAAGCGAAAGCAGCUAACUAUAAUAAACCUGACAGUAAGAGACGAAAGCUUGGGUAGCAAACGGGAUUAGAUACCCCGGUAGUCCAAGCCGUAAAUUAUGCUUGCUAGAUAUUUUCUCUACUUUAGAGGGAGUGUCGUAAUCUAACGAGUUAAGCAAGCCGCCUGGGUAGUAUAUACGCAAGUAUGAAACUCAAAGGGAUAGGCGGGGGAACACACAAGCAGUGGAUUGUCUAGAUUAAUUGGAUAAUAAGCCAAGAAUCUCACCUAAACUUGACAUGUACUGUGUCCUAUGUGAAAGCAUAGUAUUCCGAGCAAUCGGAUACGGUACACAGGUGGUGCAUGGUCGUCGUCAGCUCGUGCCGCAAGGUGUCUAGUUAAGUCUAGAAACGAGCGCAACCCUCAUCUCUAGUUAGUAUGUCUAGAGAGACUGCUCGGGCAACCGAGAGGAAGGAGAGGAUGACGUCAGAUCCUCAUGCCCCUUACGUUUAGGGCUUCAUAGGCAAUACAAUGGGUAAUACAAUAAGAAGCAAUAUCGUGAGAUGGAGCAAAUUUUUAAAAUUAUCCUUAGUUCGGAUUGUAGUCUGGAACUCGACUACAUGAAGUUGGAAUUGCUAGUAAUGGUAGGUCAGCUAUACUACCGUGAAUAUGUCCCUGUUCCUUGCACUCACCGCCCGUCAAACCAUGGAAGUUG
rnacentral:rRNA from 1 species